ACAGGCUAACGCUUGGAGCUAAAUGGCUCCUCCUCGCAAGAUGAAACUGCCUCUACAUUCAUGGAAAAGUUCACACUUUAUUCUUUUUUUUAACGUAACCCAACCCACUUAAACGUUUGUACGUUCUGAACUGUUCUUACAAAUUACUGCACUCGCAACAAAAACUAAAACUUACUUUUUAUGGCCAGGGUUGCGAGCUAUAGCCUCGAUACAAAAUGCUUCCCUCCGCCAAAAAACAAAAACGGACGUUUCCCCCCUUCGCUUUUAGAAAAAGCAAAUGGUGAUGACCGUGGCCGGCCACUGGAGGGCGUCAGAGUGUUGGACUUGACCCGCGUCCUGGCCGGACCGUUCGCCACCAUGAUGCUGGGAGACCUGGGAGCCGAAGUCAUCAAAGUGGAGAAACCAGGUGCAGGCGACGACACCCGGGCGUGGGGCCCCCCCUUCGUGGGCUCGGAGAGCGUCUACUUCCUCAGCGUCAACCGCAACAAAAAAAGCGUCGCCGUGGACCUCAAACAUCCUCGAGGAGCACAAGUCGUCCAGGAGCUGGCGGGCGCGUGCGACGUGAUGAUGGAGAACUUCCUGCCGGGCAAACUGUCUGUGAUGGGUCUGGGAUACGAGGAGCUCAGCAAACGGAACCCGGCGCUCAUCUACUGCUCCAUUUCAGGUUACGGACAAACGGGGCCUCAAAAUCAAAGCCCGGGGUACGACUCCAUUGCCUCAGCUGUGUCCGGGAUGAUGCACAUCACCGGGCCAGAGGACGGCGAGCCGGUCCGGCCCGGCGUGGCCAUGACUGACCUGGCGACCGGCCUGUACGCCCACGGCGCCGUCUUGGCCGCCCUGCUGCAGCGCCGGCGCACGGGGACGGGUGCGCACGUCGACUGUGACCUGCUGUCCUCUCAGGUGUCGUGUCUCAGCCACGUCGCUGCCAACUUCUUGAACGGCGGCAAGGAGGCCAGGCGCUGGGGGACGGCCCACGAAAGCAUCGUGCCCUACCAGGGCUUCGAAACCAAAGACGGCCAAGUGGUGGUGGCGGCAGUAAACGACCGGCAGUUCGCCCGAAUGUGUCGGGUUUUGCGGCUUCCGGACCUCAGCCGGCAGACUCGGUACUCGACCAACAAGCUCCGAGUCCAAAACCGUCGACAGCUGGUGCACACGCUGGGGCAGAGGUUUCUGCAAGAGACGACGGCCGAUUGGCUGAGACGCUUUGAAGGCUCAGGUGUUCCUGUCGGACCAAUCAACAGCAUCCGUCAGGUCUUCGCUGACCCGCAGCCGUCACAACAACAGCGGACGCGAAGGCGAGGUGCGGAGGCCCGGCCGGCCGGACGGCCGACGCGUGACCCCGUCGGGACGCGAGAGAACUUCGGAUGUACGAAAGAUUUCUGGGGAGGAGCAGAACGUUCCAGUGGUGUUCACUCUUUCAAGGCCCAUCUGCAGUUGGGGCGUGUCCGAGAGUAACGCAAACCAAAGUUUUGGGGUGAAACUGGAAAUUGACAACAUUUUCUUCUUCCUCCCCCGAAACCCAGCAAUGUGGAGGAGCAAAGCAUUGUCGCAAAUGUAGGAAGAGAAGGUCGACACCAGUCGUCCUUUUGGGGACACAAAUGUACAUUUAGAAAGUUUGAGCUCACUUUGCAGCAUCCACGCACGCACGCACGCACGCACACACACGCGCGAGCCUCUUUGGUCUCUGAAGGGAUCUAAAAGUGGAAAAAAAGUGAAGCUGGUGAACAUUCGACCGAUCAAAUAUUUGCACGGCUAGCAGGUGGUUUGCUCGCUGCUAAGCUAACGUCAUCGCCAGUGAUGUCAGCGGACGUUUUGUGUUUGAAGACGGGAUCAAACCUGUGACCUGGAGUCUCGCUAUAGUGCAAAAACAUUUCUCAAACAACAACACGUAACAUUAUUAUUAUUAUUAUUAUUAUUAUUAUUAACAUGAACGAGAAUAUUAUUCAAAUAUUUAGUGACAGUAAACAUCAGAACAUGGUAACCAUGGUAACAUAGAAGUGUUUGGUUCCAGCAGCCAAGCCAACUUGUUUCAUUCAAGUAAUCUCAACAAACACACGCACACACACACACACACACACACACACGAGAGUCUCCAUCUUCUGUUGCGUUUAGAAGAGUCAGCAAACAAAACAAAGAAGAGGAAGUAGGCGAUACAGUGAACCCUCGCUAUAUCGCAAUUCGUUGUUCACACCCCAGCUAUACGGCAAAUUUCUGAGCAAUGUUUUAUUUUGGGUGUGUGAGUUGUGCGCCUUCAUUUGUAGUACCACGUCUUGCCACAAUAUGCCGGGCAGCACUGAGCUCUAUUGCUUGUUGCUGCACUUGUUUGAAGGUUUAGAAUUAUCAUAACAUCUGUGCUAAGUUCCGUUAGACAUUUGUUAUUAUCUGGUUUGGUUGAACAUUUUGAUGUUAAAAUAUACAGUGGAUCACUGCAUGCUCUUGGUUCGGCACCUGGAGAUUCACCUAGUCGUAGAUUUUUUUUUUUUUUCAAUUUUUCUUUUUCUUUUUUGGGAGGAAUCAACCCUGAAACUGCUUUUUGGUGAUUUAUCCCAUAUAUAUAUAUAUAUAUAUAUAUAUAUAUAUUACAACCCCAAUUCCAAUGAAGUUGGGACGUUGUGUUAAACAUAAAUGAAAACAAUACAAUGAAUUGCAAAUCAUGUUCAACCUAUAUUUAAUUGAAUACACUACAAACACAAGAUAUUUAAUGUUCCAACUGAUAAACUUAAUUGUUUUUAGCAAAUCAUCAUGAACUUAGAAUUUUAUGGCUGCAACACGUUCCAAAAACGCUCAGACAGGCAGGUGGCAAAAACGACGGAGAAAGUGGAGGAAUGCUCAUCAAACACCUGUUUGGAACAUCCCACAGGUGAACAGGCUCAUUGGGAACAGGUGGGGGCCAUGAUUGGGUAGAAAAGUAGACAAUGUUCUUCAACGUACAAUUGCAAGGAAUUUAGGGAUUCCAUCAUCUGCGGUCCAUAAUAUCAUCAAAAGGUUCAGAGAAUCUGGAGAAAUCACCGAAUGUAAGCGGCAAGGGAAAAACCAACAUUGAAUGCCCGUGACCUUCGAUCCCUCAAGCGGCACUGCAUCAAAAACCGACAUGAAUGUGUAAGGGAUAUCACCACGCGGGCUCAGGAACACUUCCGAAAACCAAUGUCAGUCAAUGCACUUCGGCGCUACAUCCGGAAGUGCAACUUGAAACUCUACAAUGCAAAGCAAAAGGCGUUUAUCAACAACCCCCAGAAACGCCGCCGGCUUCUCUGGGCCCGAGCUCAUCUAUGAUGGACCGACGCAAAGUGGAAAAGUGUUCUGUGGUCCGACGAGUCCGCAUUUCAAAUUGUUUUUGGUAAUUCUGGAUGUCGUGUCCUCCGGAUCAAAGAGGAAAAGAACCAUCCGGACUGUUAUGGACGCAAAGUUCAAAAGCCAGCAUCUGUGAUGGUAUGGGGCUGUGUUAGUGCCAGUGGCGUGGGUCACUUACACAUCUGUGACGGCACGAUUAAUGCUGAAAGGUACAUACGGGUUUUGGAGAAAAAUAUGCUGCCAUCCAAGCAGCGUCUUUUUCACGGACACCCCUGCUUAUUUCAGCAAGACGAUGGCAAAGCACAUUCUGCACGUGUUACAACAGCGUGGCUUUGUCGUAAAAGUGCGCGGGUACUAGACUGUCCUGCCUGCGGUCCAGACCCGUCUCCCAUCGAAAACGUGUGGCGCAUUAUGAAGCGUCAAAUACGACAACGGAGACCCCGGACUGUUGAGCGGCUGAAGCUGUACAUUGAGCGAGAAUGGGAAAGAAUUCCACCUCCAAAGCUUCAACAAUGAGUGUCCUCAGUUCCCAAACGUUUGUUGAAUGUUGUUCAAAGAAAAAGUGAUGUAACACAGUGGUAAACAUGCUUUUUUGGAACGUGUUGCAGCCAUAACAUUCUAAGUUAAGGAUUAUUUGCUCAAAACAAUAAAGUUUAUCAGUUAGAACAUUAAAUACCUUGUCUUUGUCGUGUAUUCAAUUAAAUAUAGGUUGAACAUGAUUUGCAAAUCAUUGUAUACUGUUUUUAUUUGUUUAACACAACGUCCCGACUUCAUUGGAAUUGGGCUCGUAUAUAAUAUAUAUAUAUAUAUAUAUAUAUAUAUAUAUAUAUAUACACACACACACGUAGUUCCGCCCCUGCAUAGUGAUUCCGUACGAUAGUUUCCCAUUUCUUGAUGUUAAGAGGCACUAAGGGAUACUCUGAAAACCGUGUUUUAACAACUUCACGUUCAUUUUGAUACGUUAAAAUGUUCUUAAAAAAGAUCUUCUUUCCAUAUCGCCAAUUUUCACUGGAUCAUCUGGAUCGCACGCGCUGCGAUAAACAGGGGUUCACUGUCAUCAAACGAGUUGCAUAGUUUGCGGUUCGCCAACAUGGUCUCAGCCAAACGAAUAGGCCACAUCCACUCCAUUUUUAACAAAAAUAUAUUAAUAUUCAUUUUUUUCUUUUUGUCCGAAAGCGCCACAAGGACGGACGUGGCCCGCCUCGGAGCGGCGUGGCGUCCGGCGGCGUCUAGGAGCAUCCGCACUCGUCCACGAUCAUGUUGUCGAUGUCCUUCUUGAUGAUCUUGUGCUCCUCGUUGUAGUAGAGCAUAGACAUGGCGCGCAGCCGCGUGGGCACGCAGCAGGAGCGCAGGGUCUGGAAGGGACUGUAGCCCCGCAUGCGGUAAUGGCUGAUGACGGUGGAGUGAAAGGACAGCGCCGAGCCCGUGAUGCUGGCCACGUGCGAUGGGCACUCGCCCUCGCAGUAGUUGGCGUGGUAGCCGCUGGGCGCGAUGAUCCAGUCGUUCCACCCGAUGUCUUUGAAGUUGACGUAGAACUGGCGCUUGCAGCACACGCGCACUUUGCCGUCGCAUUCCAGGCCUCGCUUUCGCCGCCGCCGAGAGUCGCCCGAGUCCUCCGGCCGCAACGCCGCCAUCAGGAAGGGCCGGUGGGAUUGCUCCCGUUGGGAUUGCUCGCGCUGGCCGCCGCGUCGCUGCGAUUCUUCGCCGCCGGACACCAGCACGGGCGUGGCGCCGAAGCCGGCGCAGAGCGGGCAGGACGCCCUGACGCCGAGCGCCGCGCCCGCCCCGUCCGUGCGAUCCAGAAGCGCCUGGACCGCGGCCGACACCGGGAAGGUGUGCCAGCCGCUGCGGCGGGUGUCCACCGUCUUCUCCGCAAGCAAGACGUCAUCCUGCGGCGAGGAUGAGGCGGCGCCGCGCUGGAACAGGCGGACGGUCACCUUGGCGCGGCUGCGGUUGUUCUUGGCCAAGCGCAGGAAGAGCCACACGUUGGCCUGCUCCACCAGAGACACCUCGCCGCCGCCAUCGUCUUUGGACAGCACGAAGGUCACCGUAUCCCGUGUCUCACCUGAAACACAGUCUGCUGCAGGUGGCCCGUGAUUGGUUAAGAAGCAGAAGAAGAACAGCCUCGUUUGCUCGAUGCCACUCGCUGUUUCUCGUAAAACGUCCUUGGCAUCGAGAACGCCAAAGAAAGGAAGAAAAGGAUGAAAGGUUGGCAGUUUGAAUCCCGACCGAGGAGCAACAAAGAGUUUGACAACAUGGCCGACACAUGAAAGUACACUGAGGAAUGUCGCUAAUGAUGUGUUCAAUUAAGUCCAAUUAGCCUAAUUGUCCUCUGUGUGCCGGCUCCACACACACACACACACACGCGCACACACGUGCGCACGUAUGUACCCACACAUGCACACACACACACACACGGGUUUUGUGUGUGCGCUGUACUAAAGGGACUCGGGCAUCGCCGCCAAGAAUUCCCCCGUCGUCUCUUUCCUCUCGCGUCUCGGUCGUCCCAAUUAAUUAGCGAGUCCCUGAACGCAUCGCUUGUCGGCGACAAAGGCGCGAGUGGCCGUCCGCGGCGUAUUCUCACGGCGUCGCGUUCGCGCGCGCAACAACAACACUUUUGAUCUGAGGCUAUUUUCGUAUAUCGCCGGCUCCGCCUACCGCGCCCGCGCUCGGGUGAGGGGCGGCGCCCUUCGGUGGGCGCCGGGAGCGCGACGACUGCGACCCGAAGUACCCGCCGCGUUAGUUCCUCACGACUGCGCUGCUUUUGCUCAACCGAAAGGCGACACACGAAUUCAGUGGUUCUCAGACCUUUUACCAUCUAAAAAAAACGUCGCUUUCCAAAUACCACCACAUUAUGACCAAUCAAUAGGGCCCGGCCGAUAUGAAUACGACGGCACGUUUGCGUGUUUUACAAUAGUUUGUCCUUUCCGUAACAGAGAGAAAAAAUAUCAGUAAAAAGUGGCCGAUUUUUGGGGGCCAAUAUUUUUGAGGGGAAAUGUUCAUUUGAAUGUCAUUAUCUUGGUCUUACGUUGUCAUGUGUUACUGUGUAAAAAAAAAACAGUCGGCAAAAAGAUUUUUGCUGAUUCGAGGAGGGCUAAUAUCGGCAGGCUGACGAAUCGCUUGCAGACAAAAUAACAAAACAAAGCAAAGGAGACGAAAACAAUGCGAGGCAGAGGUUUCAUUCCUAAGAAGGAGGGUACCCGUCCAAAGUUUGGAGAUGCUUCACUAUUCGACAGCAUGAGAAUGCGUUUCAGAACUUUUGGCUGGUCGCGCAUAUUGAAUCUUAAUUAUAAGCCAGUGACAUCAUGCACCGUUUUACCAUUAACACUGUGUAAAACUGCACUUCAUGAUUCAAUUGGAAGGUAUUGGAGAUGAAAACGACCUGCUGUAAGUCAAAGUUUCAAAACAAACCCUUCCUCCUGACGUACUGCCCUAAAGGGUUCAACGCAAGUGACGCAGUCAUUCUUGAGCGUACCACUCGAGGAUCCCGCGUCGCACACUUUGAGGCUCAGUGCGCUCAUGAUUAGCGAUGAGCGCGAACGUGCGAACGAGAGCCGCGGCGCGGCGCGCACUCACCGGGCUCGGCAAAGGUGAUGAUCUCGGUGGUGUCUCGCUCGUCGUGGUCUCGGGCGCGAGCCGCCCCUCCUCCCCCUCCUUCGGCGCCGCCUUCCCCCCGCCGGCCCCCGCCCUCGGCCUCCUCCCCCCCGAUGUGCACGCUGCCGUCGUCCGCCACCCGGCCCACGUGCAGCUUCCGCAGGGCGUUGAGGAGCGCGGCGCGGGGCACGGGCCGGGUGAUGUUGGGGCGCGCGUGGAGGUGGAGCAUGUUGAGGAUGUGGCGCUUGACCGCCUCCACCACUUCCCGCUGCGCCUCCUCCUCCUCGGGCUCCUCGGCCGGACCGCCGCGUAUCCCGGCCAGGGCGCAGGAGGGGCAGUGCCCGGCGGCGGGGUCGGCGGCCAGGGAGCGCGGCGCCGGGUCCGACGACGAACGACAGACGUGCGGCAGGAGCAGGAGCAGGAGCAGGACGGCGCCGCUCAGCGCGGUCAAGGCGGACAUGACGGCGGGUGAAGGCGGCGACUUUCGAAAGCCUCGUUCCUGUUGUUGUUUCCUCUCACCGGGUGGUCACGCUGAGGAAGACGAGGAUGAGGAGCGUCACAGAGGAAGGUGAGCAGACGUGGGAUGACACAUCAAAGCUCUGACGUGUGACAUCAUCAACGGCGUUCACGCGCACACACGAAGGCCUCGUCUGCGGCGUGGACCGGACGUCUCAACUCUGUCUCGACCGUGAAAGUGGCAGAUAGCGGAGCGUCCGCCGGGCCCGGCGGAACUUUGACGAGCGUCUGGCGGGCGAGUGGUUUGAUUGACAGCUUCUUUUGGAUUGGAUCGACAUCGCCACUGACGUGGUCAGCAGCCCGCACUUCCAAAAAUGUCAGGGAGUCGAGGAUGACGAAUGAGCCCUGACUCCCGAAUCACAAGAAAGAGCCGACAUGAGCUAGUCUCAGCAAAAAAAGGAGCUUUUAGCAAAAAGCAGAACAGAGAUGUUGAUGCUAAUAUUUUGUUUUUGUGACAUCUCAAACUAUAAAACAACAAAGUCAAGACUAAGAAGUGCUUUUGAUGGCAAACCGAUCAUUUCUUUCCAGAUAUAAAAACUAAGACACGCACUGUAAGAGACGCUGA